rnacentral:rRNA from 1 species
UCUGGUUGAUCCUGCCGGACCCGACUGCUAUCAGAGUGGGACUAAGCCAUGCGAGUCAACGUAGCAAUGCGUGGCGAACGGCUCAGUAACACGUAGUCAACAUGCCCAGGGGACGUGGAUAACCUCGGGAAACUGAGAUUAAACCGCGAUAGGUCAAGAUUUCUGGAAUGGAUCGUGUCUUAAAUCUACAUGGCCCCUGGAUUGGACUGCGGCCGAUCAGGCUGUUGGUGAGGUAAUGGCCCACCAAACCUAUAACCGGUACGGGCUCUGAGAGGAGAAGCCCGGAGAUGGGCACUGAGACAAGGGCCCAGGCCCUAUGGGGCGCAGCAGGCGCGAAACCUCUGCAAUGGGCGAAAGCCUGACAGGGUUACUCUGAGUGAUUUCCGCUAAGGAGAUCUUUUGGCAGCUCUAAAAAUGGUGCAGAAUAAGGGGUGGGCAAGUCUGGUGUCAGCCGCCGCGGUAAUACCAGCACCCCGAGUGGUCGGGACGAUUAUUGGGCCUAAAGCAUCCGUAGCCGGUUGUGCAAGUCCUCCGUUAAAUCCAGCCGCUCAACGGAUGGGCUGCGGAGGAUACUACAGAACUAGGAGGCGGGAGAGGCAAGCGGUACUUAGUGGGUAGGGGUAAAAUCCUUUGAUCCAUUGAAGACCACCAGUGGCGAAGGCGGCUUGCCAGAACGCGCUCGACGGUGAGGGAUGAAAGCUGGGGGAGCAAACCGGAUUAGAUACCCGGGUAGUCCCAGCUGUAAACGAUGCAGACUCGGUGAUGGGCUAGCCUCGUGUCAGCCCAGUGCCGCAGGGAAGCCGUUAAGUCUGCCGCCUGGGGAGUACGGUCGCAAGACUGAAACUUAAAGGAAUUGGCGGGGGAGCACCACAAGGGGUGAAGCCUGCGGUUCAAUUGGAGUCAACGCCGGGGACUCUAGGAGAUCCCGGGUACGACUCGAU